GAUGAACGCUGGCGGCGUGCCUAACACAUGCAAGUCGAGCGAACAGACGAGGCUCUUGCUGCUUUCACGUUAGCCGCGCGCGGGUGAGUCACAUGUGUAUAAUGUACUUGUAAUACGGGUAUCAUCUCGGGAAACCGGAUCAUAUACGGUAUAAGAUCUUGAACCACAGGGGUGAAUAGUGAAAUUCGGCGGUUGGGUCUGGUAUAGAUGCUUCCGCGCCGCAUUAGCUGGUUGGUAAGGUAACGGCUUAUCAAGGCUAGGAUGCGUAACCGAGGUGAGAGGGUGAUCGGCCACACUGGAACUUGGCCACGGUCCAGACUCCUACGGGAGGCAGCAGUAGGGAAUCUUACGCAAUGGGCGAAAGCCUGACGGAGCAACGCCGCGUGAGUGAUGAAGGUCUUCGGAUCGUAAAACUCUGUUAUUAGGGAAGAACAAAUGUGUAAGGAACUAUGCACGUCUUGACGGUACCUAAUCAGAAAGCAACGGCUAACUACGUG
rnacentral:rRNA from 1 species